CCUACGGGCGGCAGCAGUGGGGAAUAUUGGGCAAUGGGCGCAAGCCUGACCCAGCAACGCCGCGUGAAGGAAGAAGGCUUUCGGGUUGUAAACUUCUUUUCUCAGGGACGAAGCAAGUGACGGUACCUGAGGAAUAAGCCACGGCUAACUACGUGCCAGCAGCCGCGGUAAUCCGUAGGUGGCAAGCGUUAUCCGGAUUUACUGGGUGUAAAGGGCGUGUAGGCGGGACUGCAAGUCAGAUGUGAAAACCAUGGGCUCAACCGAAGGACUGCAUUUGAAACUGUAGUUCUUGAGUACUGGGGAGGCAGACGGAAUUCCUAGUGUAGCGGUGAAAUGCGUAGAUAUUAGGAGGAACACCAGUGGCGAAGGCGGUCUGCUGGACAGCAACUGACGCUGAGGCGCGAAAGCGUGGGGAGCAAACAGGAUUAGAUACCCUUGUAGUC
rnacentral:rRNA from 1 species